AUGGAUCCACCAGUCCUCGAACCAAGCUACAUGCGCCUAAAUCCACUGCCACCCAUGUAUCCACCUGUCGGCGGUAGCCUCGCACCAAGAAGCCCACCGCCACCCAUGGAUCCACAAGCCGGUGGUCUCAAUUUUCAAUUCGUCCAUGUUCCCGGCGAUGGGACGAGGGCCAGCCACUUCGCUCCGCGCGGGACCGUUCCGGAUUUCUACGCCAACUACACUCCCCAGCCUCCGCCUCCAGGGACCAGGGCUGGCCACUUCCUUCCGCGCGGGACCGUCCCAGAGUUCUACGCCAACUACACACCCCAGCCUCCGCCGCCAGGGUGUGAGGAGAAGACGCAACAUGUGCCUGGCCCGUCGUACACGUCCUCUAAUCUGAGGCCUCCUAGCAUGCCAACAUCUGCCUCUUACUUGCCCUCUAUUUGUCUGCCACCGUGGCUUUGCCCGCCAAAUUUUCAGUGCCCAGGGGACCUGCUGGGACGCCCCCUUACCCCGUCUCUAGGGCCACCAUUUCUGCACCGGAAACAUCCUGAGUGGGGAAUAGACUUCUACAUCCGGGUCGACCGUGCGGGAUGCUACCACACAUAUCCUCACGUUGGUGGGCCAUUUGAAGGACUACAGGAAGCUGAACAUGCUAUCGAGCGCCAUCUUGAUGACCGUCGGGAUCCAAAAAUGUCUACGAUGGAUAAUGUUUCUGCAGUGGACAUCGCUGUACGACAUUAUCUCUACCUGCCUGAUGGCACAAGGAAGCACUCGGGAAUAUAUGAUAAAAUCAGUGAUAAUCAGCGCCAGUUAGUUCUUGCUUUGGUGGACAAGUAUAACGAUGACAACAGUCUUUUGGAGGAUCUUGCAUAUGAACUAACUAAGGUGGUGUGCUACAAGUCAUUCCGUGAGGCUGAUGUCCGCAUGUGGUACCAUCAUAUAAAUUUCUCUGCAAAGGCUAAAGGAGGGGCUGAUUGCAAGUUCUUCUUCGCUGAAGUCAUAUUUAUGCAAGGAGAAUUGCCGGUUAGCUGUUUGUGCAUGAUUGCACCUACUGAUGAUGGGCACUGCUUUAGUUGUAGAAAUAAUGGCAAUGAUCUGAAGCAUCCUAAAGGUGUUCGAUAUGCUGGUGGUCAUGUGAUGCGCACAUUCAAUCCAUUUGGUGGAUGUAAGGUGCCGCCGGAAGCCUGUGUCCAUGAUUGGGAGGCUGAGGAGGCUAGGUUCAGAAAAACAUUGGAGGGCUUUGAUCUAUCAGGGCCACCACCUAUCUUCCCAGGGAAUGUCGCUAAUGUGUACAUUGGAACCUCAGUGUGGGAAGGAGGGCGCUGGAGAACGGAGGAGGCGGCUAAGGUGGGUGCUGGAGCAGAAUGUUAA
rnacentral:rRNA from 1 species